GAUAUACGGACGAUGAACUGCUCCUUAUAGAGGCGAGCACGAAGAAGAGUGUGAAACGUUGGAGCAGGCGGAAUCAGAGAGGCAGCAAAUGUGGGACUUGGAGCCAAGCUAUGCUGACAUAAAUGGAGUGCAAUCAAUGGAAAAGGAUUGAACACGUCAGUGCCUCACCUUGCCACCAGGGGGGUAAAAGGCUUAACCAUGAAAUGUUCAAAAACGAAGCCAGAAUCGCGGAAAUUCAGGCAGACAAGAAGUGAAGCAGACACAGGUGGUGCCUCCACGGCGCAUGCGUGCGAGGUGGCGCAUGCUUGUUGCCACAGCUAAAAGGCAGGCCAUGAGACAGCAAGUACCUCUGCCUCAAGGUAGGGGGCAAUAUAUUGUCAACUUGCAGUUCAACGCCUCUGCAGUACUCUGACUCGCCAUACUGGGAGAAGUGGGGGCGCUCAAGC